CAGCCGCCACGGGAAUACGUAGGGUGCGAGCGUUAAUCGGAAUUACUGGGCGUAAAGCGUGCGCAGGCGGUUAUAUAAGACAGAUGUGAAAUCCCCGGGCUCAACCUGGGACCUGCAUUUGUGACUGUAUAGCUAGAGUACGGUAGAGUGGGAUGGAAUUCCGCGCGUAGCAGUGAAAUGCGUAGAUAUGCGGAGGAACACCGAUGGCGAAGGCAGUCCCCUGGACCUGUACUGACGCUCAUGCACGAAAGCGUGGGGAGCAAACAGGAUUAGAUACCCCCGUAGUCCCUGUCUCUUAUAC
rnacentral:rRNA from 1 species